UUUGGUGUAUUAGAGAUUUCAUGCAUUUCUAUCCUUACCUGUAUUAAAAAAAUUGUUUUCUUAUUCUAAUUUCUUGAAAUAAGUUCUUUAAUCCUUUGUUGUCAGUCUUUUUUCCUUCAUACAUGCUUUUUUUUCCUUCAUACAUGCUUUUGAGAUUGUACAUUUCCACUUAAAAUAAUCUUGUAGGCGCUUCAGUGAAGUUCUAGUAGGAAGUGUGUUGCUUUCUCACAGUUCUAGAGGAUAGAAAUCUGAGGAAAAGGUGUUAGCUGACUCAGUUUCUUCUGAGACCUCUCUUGGCUUGCAGAGGGGCAUUUUUUGGUUGUACCCUCAUAUGAUUUUUUUCUUCGAUACGCUUAUUUCUAAUUUUGUAAUUAUUCCAAAUUUUCUCCUCUUGUAAGGACACCAGUCAGACUGGGUGAGAAACCAUUCUAAUGCCUGAUUAAGUUUUAACUUAGGGACCCUAACUACAAGUUUAACCACAUUCUGAGGUGUGGGGGCUUAGGACUUCAUUGUGUUAAUUUGGGGAGUGCAGAAUCCAGCCUACAAUAUAUUGCCUACUAGUUAUUACUUAGUUCAGCAAAUUUCUCUUUUUAGUGCUAAGAGAAUGGAGCCCAGCUUUGAACAUACUAGGCAAGCCCUCUACCACUCAGCUACAUCUCCAGCUCUUUUCAAUGGGUUACAUAAAAGAGCCUCAUCUACAUACAUGCUGUGUAUUUGUUUUCUGCUGCUGUUAACACUAGUUACCCAAACUUAACACCUUUCACUUCUGGAGAAUUUUAUUCUUUAAGCUCUGGAGGCUAUAGGUCCUGAAAUCCUAGCCAUGUUGUGUGUCCAUCUGGGGCUGUAAAGGAGAGCCUUUUCCAGCUUCUAGCUUCCUUUCUUGGCUUUGGCUCCCUAUUCCACACUAAAGCCUGCAGCGUAUCUUCAAAUUUUUCUCCAUCACAUCUCUCUGACCCUGACCCUCCUGUCUCCUUCUUAUAAUAAUCCUUUCAUUUAUAUUCGGACUGGUUUAGAUAAUCCAAAAUAAUCCUCUCAUCUGGGAUCUUUAAAUUAUUCACACCCAUAAAGCCCCUUUGGCUAUGUGAAGUUUUAUAUUCAUAGGUUCCAGGAAUUCAGAUGUAGACAUCUUUGGAGGUCAUUAUUCUGUUUACCACUUGGCAGUUUUCAGGGAGUUUUGUUUUUCUUACUUUUAGAUAAGUGUGUUCUGGUCAGUACUUUUAUAAUUUGAGUCUUUAAAAAAAUAAAAACUCUCUUGAUUUAUUGAGUAUGAGGUACAUUAGACACUAAGCCUCUUGGGUAUAAGCAAACUCUUCAAUGUCAGUUUUAGGGGAGGAGCCAAGAUUCUACUGUGGGAAGCUUCUGGUCAUGUGGAGGGACC